rnacentral:rRNA from 1 species
UACAGAGGGGGCAAGCGUUGUUCGGAAUUACUGGGCGUAAAGGGCGCGUAGGUGGCCUUCUAAGUCGAACGUGAAAUCCCCGGGCUCAACCCGGGAACUGCGUCCGAUACUGGGAGGCUUGAAUCCGGGAGAGGGAUGUGGAAUUCCAGGUGUAGCGGUGAAAUGCGUAGAUAUCUGGAGGAACACCGGUGGCGAAGGCGGCAUCCUGGACCGGUAUUGACGCUGAGGAGCGAAAGCGUGGGGAGCGAACGAGG